CCUACGGGAGGCAGCAGUAAGGAAUAUUGGUCAAUGGAGGCAACUCUGAACCAGCCAUGCCGCGUGCAGGAUGACGGCCCUAUGGGUUGUAAACUGCUUUUAUACAAGAGAAAACCCUGGUACGUGUACCAGGUUGAUAGUAUUGUAAGAAUAAGCAUCGGCUAACUUCGUGCCAGCAGCCGCGGUAAGACGAAGGAUGCAAGCGUUAUCCGGAUUCAUUGGGUUUAAAGGGUGCGUAGGCGGACUGAUAAGUCAGUGGUGAAAUCUCUUUGCUUAACAAAGAAACUGCCAUUGAUACUGUCGGUCUAGAGUAUAGAUGACGUUGGCGGAAUAUGACAUGUAGUGGUGAAAUACUUAGAUAUGUCAUAGAACACCGAUUGCGAAGGCAGCUAACGAAACUAUAACUGACGCUGAGGCACGAAAGUGCGGGGAUCAAACAGGAUUAGAUACCCUGGUAGUCCGCACCGUAAACGAUGAUUACUCGUUGUUGGCGAUAUGACAGUCAGCGACCAAGCGAAAGCGAUAAGAAUCCACCUGGGGAGUCGCCGGCAACGGUUGAAACUCAAAAGAGUAGUACGGACGAGAGAGAGCGACGGACGACGACGACGGAGGGAGGNG
rnacentral:rRNA from 1 species